ensembl:lncRNA
UGGAUGAAGGCUUAAGUAGCUGAAAGUGGGGAUCUGGGGCCCUCAGGCCCUCUGUUCCUUUUCUUAAAUGAGUCAGGGUAAGCAAAGAGUCAGCGUGUGGUUCAUUCACCACAAAAAUUAGUUUCCCUUUAGUGAACAUCUCUUCCUUUUGGGUUGGUUCCUAGUGGAAGUUCUUGUCAGAUACAGUCAUCUGUGGGGGAUUUAUUUCCCUGCAGAGUGAAAAUAAGGGUCCAGGAACCAGUCUAAGCCCCCUUUACAAGUGGCCCUACAGGAUUUUGUUAAUCAGGCAGAAGUAUGCAUUUUUGGUCAAGAUUAUAAUCUGCUGCCUGGAGUGGGUGCAAUCACGGCCAAAGUCUCUUCUUGCCUUGUAUGUCUGUAAGUGUCUUUGCAGCUAUUAUUGCCUUUGAUUUGUUUUCCCAAGACUUUGAGCUCUUUGUGUGUCAAGACUCUGACUUCUUCACACCUGUGUGCUGUCAUACCAAGGCGGCACAGACACACCUAUUUCAGGUGACAUGCAGCAGCACAGACAUGCAUCUUCCGGGUGACAUGCAGCAGAAAGGGCAGCAUGGUUUCCCGGGGAAGCCUCCAUGUAGAGGCAGCAGAAGGUUGAGUACCCUGGGCUGCCACCAUCUGACGGAGAGAUGUGUGCUUGACCGACUUGUGUGGAAUGCACCCCAGAAACGGCUCCAGGGGAAGGAGCCCGCCCUGUACUACUUGAUGGACUUACAGGAAAAGCAUGGCGAGAACAUCUGGUGUAACACGUAAUACUGGGCAUUUCCUGGUUGAGGAAAGAGUCUUGUUCAACGCUGGAGCCUCCAGAGAUCAGCCCCUGGCAGCAGGCUGUUCUUCCUGGAGUGAACACAGACUCACUCAACCAGCCUCUUGCCAAACUACCAAAAGGGCGGCUGGGGUUUGUCUCUCCUCUGGCACCAAGUAGGUAAUUGGGCACUCAAUAAGUGUUGAAUGAAUAGAAUUAUUAUUGUUAAGAGGAAACUCAUGUUGAUUUCAUUUAAACUUGCUCUCCUCCCACACGCCAGCUAUGCUAAGGCCCCUUAGGGGUAGAUGAGCUGGGCAGAGUAAGGGGAUUUUCUGUGUCUGCUCACUUUGCAGGGAAGGGAGUGGGCUGAUUAGCUAUGAUGGGUUAUUUUUGCACCUAGAUUCUUAGAAUGGAAACCAAACAAACUUCUUUUUCCUACUGGGUGGAAGACAUAGCCUCUGGAGAAGCAUAGGUACAGAGGAAAUUGGCAGCACAACUUUCUGCCCUGCAUCACAGCUCGGGAAGAGCAGCCCCUGCUGUGCCCAGAAUCUUGUGACCAUUCUGCAAGAGGUCUGGUUGGGUAUGGCAAUCAUGUCUGGCCCAAAACAUCAGGGCACGUGGCAGCCAUAUGGAAAUUGUUCCAUGUUAUUUUAGAGAUAAAUGAAGGGGGAAAACAACCCAGGGUCCAUCAGAAAGAUGAGUUUCUUGUGAGCCCCGAAUCCCCACCAUUCCUGGAAGUUCCAGAUCGGCUAUUCUGGGCUCGACAUGAAGCAGGAUGAGGCUCUGGAGGGGGAGAGUGGGUGGGAAGAGUGUACACCACAGGAUGCUAGGUGUCCACAGCCACGGUGACCCGUGGCAGGUCUCAGGGGUGAUGGGGUUGGGGUCAGAGACGGCAGGGCUCAGUGUGAGGGAUCCUAGCCACAGGGGGCUGGCAAACUGACUGCUGGGGAGAAGGAGCUGCAUUUUCUUCCAUGAGCAGUAGGAGGCACUGCAGCUUUAGAAGGCAGAAGAUGUGGUUCUGAGCAGUGGGGCAAGCCUUUUUUUUUUUUUUUUUCCUUCCUCAAAUUUGAGAGAUUCCCAAGGGAACUCUGUAUGCCACAGGGCAGCCAAAAAAGAAGAAGAAGAAAAAAAAAAAAAAAAAAAAGAUGGGAAAACAGCCUUCUUUGCCAAGGGGCAAUGUGGCUCAUCUACUACUACUACUACUCAUGGCUAUUAACCAGGUACUAUGGUAAAAGCUGUUCAAGGAUUUUUUUUUUUCACUUUACCCUCAAAAUAACUCUCUGAAACAAAUACUAUUGCAAUUUUGAACCUGAAGCUUCGGGAGGCCAUAUAAUUCAUUCAAGAUAGAACAGCUUGGAGUGUUUUGAGUCCAAACACAAACUUCACCAUUACUCUGUUUCGCUUGUACCUCAAAUGUCUCGAUAGUCUGUGACCUAUGUAGACAGGACAGCUUCCCUCGGAAAGUGCUAUGUAGCAGGAGUUGUAUUUAGCCUGCUCACCACUGUGGUCCCAAAGCCUUGGCCAGUGCUUGGCCCUCAGUUGGUUCUAGAGCUGUAUUUGUGGAGUGAAAACAGGGAUGAAGAUAUCACAGAAAACCAGCAGUCUGUCCACCUCGUCCCUGAACUGAGCUAGGAAUCGCACUCCUAUGCCAGGUCAAGAGAAGGAAGUUGUGGACCAUUGGGCUAGUCAUGCUUUCAGUAUUUCAAAUUCAAAAUAAGCAUUGCUUUAUGAUCAAAAUGAAUUAUCCUGACAGUCUAUCACAUCUUAUCAGACUCUUCUUUAUUCAAAAUGUUGCUGGUACUAUUAUUUAAUAAACUGGAGCAAGCAAUAAAUUCCACUGGUCUACAGAGACUGUGGUUGGGUUC